rnacentral:rRNA from 1 species
AUGAUGAAUCAAUUGCAAAAUGAUGAUGACGAAUUGCAAAUUCUAGAUCAAAUGGAUGCUGCUCAUAGGAAGGAGGAUGUCGAUCCAAUCGAAGAAGGGGGUCGUACCAUGGCUGGUUCAGGAAAGAUGCCCCAAAAGAAGCCCAAGAAGGAGAAGCCCAAGAACAGUGGAGAUGUGAUUGCCGGAGCAUUGGAGAAGUACAUAGAGCUGAAGAAAAGGCAAGUAGAUGAUGAAGCUGCAUACUUGGCCAAUGAAAGGGCAGAGGCAACAAAAUUAGACGACUUCUCUAUCACCAAGUGCAUGGAUGUGCUCAAAACAAUGGAGGUUGUCACCCGCACAGAGAAUAUCAAGGCGUUCAAUGUCUUCAAGGAUGCUGCAAACCGUGAAAUUUUCAUAAAUGCCGCUGAUGAUGAUAAAGAGAACGCUAUUAUGUGGCUCCGGAGUCAAAUGUUCCCAUGA